UCCCUGGUGGUCCAGUGGUUAAGACUCUGAGCUCUGAAUGCAGGGAGCAAGGGUUCGAUCCCUGAUCAGGGAA
rfam:TPA: Bos taurus chromosome 8, whole genome shotgun sequence.